AUUUCAAAGAUGACGUUUGGAAUGCAUUGAUGGGUGAAUUCGAGCUCGAUGUUCCACCACAUGUUGCUCGUCCAUUAGCAGAGAAGACAUGGUCUCAAAAGUUUUGGACGCACGAAAAUUCGUUAAGGGUAAUAUUAAAGAAACAUGGUCAUACUCAAGCCGAGCCAAAAGAAAAUCCUUCAAGAUCGAUUACUCGAGCUGAGAAAUGGUGAGCAGCACAUGAGCAUGUUGAUGGGACUGUCUUAGAGAGUGCUAAAAAUAAAUAUGAGCAAGUAAAAGCUGCUGCAAAUAAAAGAAAAAUCCAAAACUCGAGUGGAGAUGAAGGUACAGAGCCUUAUGAUGACAUUGAUACAGAUGCGAUAGC